GCAUUAAUGGGGUAGUGGUAACCUGGGUCGUUGCCAUUUAAGAGAAUAACUCGACCCGCCGGGGGUUCGAUUCCCCAUUAAUGCA